rnacentral:lncRNA from 1 species
UUGUGCAUGUAGAUACAUUUAAUUUCUGUUUAAGUGUUGAUUACCAUGUCUUUACAGGAAACACUGCAAAAUACAGUCACCUCUAUGAUCUGUCCCGAUCAGAAAAGAGAAACUUCAUGAUGAAGCCGUGGCUAUUUGUUUAGAUGGUCAGCCUCUAGCAAUGAUUCAGCAGCUGCUACAGGUGGCAGUUGGCCCUCUUGACCUCUCACCCAAGGAUAUAGUGCAGAGUGCAAUCAUGAAAAUAAUUUCUGCAUUGAGUGGUGGCAGUGCUGACCUUGGUGGGCCAAGGGACCCACUGAAGGUCCUGGAAGGUGUUGUUGCAGCCGUCCACGCCAGUGUGGACAAGGGGUAAGACUAGAACAGUAUGUGCAUCUUCAUUAACUGGCUUUCCUCAGAGUAUUAGAAUCGCUCUUAGUAUCCAUG